GGAAUCUUAGACAAUGGGGGAAACCCUGAUCUAGCCAUGCCGCGUGAGCGAUGAAGGCCUUAGGGUUGUAAAGCUCUUUCAACGGUGAAGAUAAUGACGGUAACCGUAGAAGAAGCCCCGGCUAACUUCGUGCCAGCAGCCGCGGUAAUACGAAGGGGGCUAGCGUUGUUCGGAAUUACUGGGCGUAAAGCGCACGUAGGCGGAUUGUUUAGUUAGAGGUGAAAUCCCGGGGCUCAACCCCGGAACUGCCUUUAAUACUGGCAAUCUAGAGUUCGAGAGAGGUGAGUGGAAUUCCGAGUGUAGAGGUGAAAUUCGUAGAUAUUCGGAGGAACACCAGUGGCGAAGGCGGCUCACUGGCUCGAUACUGACGCUGAGGUGCGAAAGCGUGGGGAGCAAAC
rnacentral:rRNA from 1 species